rnacentral:tRNA from 1 species
AGCGGGGUAGAGCAGCUUGGUAGCUUGUCAGGCUCAUAACCUGAAGGUCGUAGGUUCAAAUCCUUCCCCCGCAACCA